GGGGAUGACCGGCUUCGACAGGUGGUUGUGUCUGUGUGUGCGUGUCAGCGGUCUCGGUUCCGCUUCAAACUGCCGAGAACUCUAAGUGCAGACAAUCAACAAUCUGCCGACGGUGUCGCAUCCCGCUACUUCUCAAGUAGUGAUGUUGCACCAGCCUACGCGUAAGAACACUCGUAGGCCACCACGCUUGCAAUGUCUGUGCGCAAGCCGCUGGUGAUAUAUCAUCAGACUAGCAGGGCUGGUUGUCUUGCCAGCACUGCAAACCCAAUCAAGACUCGGCAGUCUACUGUUUUGCCGGCUCUUGAGGUAGUCUGCUUAAAUUCUAAGACCGGAUAGGACACGUAGACUCACGCCGACACACCACCUGCACGCGGGUUCAAUUCCCGCCAUCUCCACAA
rnacentral:tmRNA from 1 species